rnacentral:rRNA from 1 species
ACUCCUACGGGAGGCAGCAGUGGGGAAUUUUGGACAAUGGGCGAAAGCCUGAUCCAGCAAUGCCGCGUGUGUGAAGAAGGCCUUCGGGUUGUAAAGCACUUUUGUCCGGAAAGAAAUCCUUGGCUCUAAUACAGUCGGGGGAUGACGGUACCGGAAGAAUAAGCACCGGCUAACUACGUGCCAGCAGCCGCGGUAAUACGUAGGGUGCGAGCGUUAAUCGGAAUUACUGGGCGUAAAGCGUGCGCAGGCGGUUUGCUAAGACCGAUGUGAAAUCCCCGGGCUCAACCUGGGAACUGCAUUGGUGACUGGCAGGCUAGAGUAUGGCAGAGGGGGGUAGAAUUCCACGUGUAGCAGUGAAAUGCGUAGAGAUGUGGAGGAAUACCGAUGGCGAAGGCAGCCCCCUGGGCCAAUACUGACGCUCAUGCACGAAAGCGUGGGGAGCAAACAGGAUUAGAAACCCGUGUAGUCCCAUGAU